rnacentral:rRNA from 1 species
AUUGAACGCUGGCGGCAGGCUUAACACAUGCAAGUCGAGCGAGCGGCGGACGGGUGAGUAAUGUCUGGGAAACUGCCUGAUGGAGGGGGAUAACUACUGGAAACGGUAGCUAAUACCGCAUACCAUCAGAUGUGCCCAGAUGGGAUUAGCUGGUAGGUGGGGUAAUGGCUGACCUAGGCGACGAUCCCGAGCUGGUCUGAGAGGAUGACCCGCCGCACGUGAACUGUUGCACGGUCCAGACUCCUACGUGAGGCCGCAGUGGGGAAUAUUGCACAAGGGGCGCAAGCCUGAUGCAGCCAUGGCGCGUGUGUGAAGAAGGCCUUCGGGUUGUAAAGCACUUUCAGCGAGGAGGCGUUACUCGCAGAAGAAGCACCGGCUAACUCCGUGCCAGCAGCCGCGGUAAUAC